GGUCUUGUAGUGAAGUUCAUGUUGAGUUGCAAGCUCAUCGAUGUACGCUAGGCGUGCCAAGACCU
rnacentral:tRNA from 1 species